rnacentral:rRNA from 1 species
GAGUUUGAUCGUGGCUCAGAUUGAACGCUGGCGGCAUGCCUUACACAUGCAAGUCGAACGGCAGCAUGGUCUAGCUUGCUAGAUUGAUGGCGAGUGGCGAACGGGUGAGUAAUACAUCGGGAACGUGCCCUGUAGUGGGGGAUAACUAGUCGAAAGAUUAGCUAAUACCGCAUACGACCUGAGGGUGAAAGUGGGGGACCGCAAGGCCUCAUGCUAUAGGAGCGGCCGAUGUCUGAUUAGCUAGUUGGUGGGUAAAGGCCCACCAAGGCGACGAUCAGUAGCUGGUCUGAGAGGACGAUCAGCCACACUGGGACUGAGACACGGCCCAGACUCCUACGGGAGGCAGCAGUGGGGAAUUUUGGACAAUGGGCGAAAGCCUGAUCCAGCAAUGCCGCGUGUGUG